rnacentral:rRNA from 1 species
UACGUAGGGAGCAAGCGUUGUCCGGAAUCAUUGGGCGUAAAGCGCGCGUAGGCGGCCCCGUAAGUCCGCUGUGAAAGUCAAAGGCUCAACCUUUGAAAGCCGGUGGAUACUGUGGGGCUAGAGUCCGGAAGAGGCGAGUGGAAUUCCUGGUGUAGCGGUGGAAUGCGCAGAUAUCAGGAGGAACACCAGUAGGCGAAGGCGGCUCGCU